rnacentral:rRNA from 1 species
UACGGGGGGGGCAAGCGUUGUUCGGAAUUACUGGGCGUAAAGGGCUCGUAGGUGGCCAAUUAAGUCAGACGUGAAAUCCCUCGGCUUAACCGGGGAACUGCGUCUGAUACUGGAUGGCUUGAGAUUGGGAGAGGGAUGCGGAAUUCCAGGUGUAGCGGUGAAAUGCGUAGAUAUCUGGAGGAACACCGGUGGCGAAGGCGGCAUCCUGGACCAACACUGACGCUGAGGAGCGAAAGCCAGGGGAGCAAACGGG